CAAAAAUAAGAUAAAGUCAAUAGACCAUGUACAGAAAAGAACAGCACUAUUUGUGAACAACAACCACACAGACCAAACACCAGGCUGUGUCACAAAUAUGGUUAAAACUCUAAAUUGGGAAUACUUCGAAGAACGGAGGAAAACAAACAGAUUAUGCAUGCUAUUCAACAACAACAAUUUUUAUUUGUCAAUCAAGACGCCCCGAGGAGCAGUACAAUUACAGUUUAAAUUAAAGUGUACAAAUAAUUGUGGUGACUUUUUUCAUUGAAAUUACAAUACAUGACAAUAAAACUAAAACUAUAUUAUAUAAGAGAAGGGAGACA
rnacentral:lncRNA from 1 species